CUGAACGCUGGCAGCGUGGAUAAGGCAUGCAAGUCGAACGUUCUCGUAUCUUUAGUAGCAAUACUCGAAAUACGAGAAAGUGGCAGACGGGUUGGUAACACGUAGGGAACCUUCCCAAAAGUGAGGAAUAACCUCGCGAAAGCGAGGCUAAUACUUCAUGUGUCGUACGGCCAUAAGGCAGUACGGGAAAGCCGCAAGGCGCUUUUGGACGGUCCUGCGUCCUAUCAGCUAGUUGGUGCGGGUAAUGGCCCACCAAGGCUACGACGGGUAGGGGGUGUGAGAGCACGACCCCCAACAUUGGGACUGAGAUACUGCCCAGACACCUACGGGUGGCUGCAGUCGAGAAUCUUCGGCAAUGGGCGCAAGCCUGACCGAGCGACGCUGCGUGUAGGAAGAAGGCCUUCGGGUUGUAAACUACUGUCGUGUGGGAAAAACAAUGAAGGUACCACACAAGAAAGGGGUUGCUAACUCUGUGCCAGCAGCAGCGGUAAUACAGAGACCCCGAGCGUUAGCCGGAAUUAUUGGGUGUAAAGGGUUCGUAGGCGGAAGCGUGCGUCUGUUGUGAAAUCGUGAGGCUCAACCUCACGGCGUGCAGUGGAUACGGCGCUUCUCGAGGUAGGAAGAGGUAGACGGAACUUAUGGUGGAGCAGUGAAAUGCGUUGAUAUCAUAGGGAACACCAAUUGCGAAGGCAGUCUACUGGUCCUGUCCUGACGCUAAAGGAACGACAGCGUGGGGAGCGAAGCGGAUUAGAUACCCGCGUAGUCCACGCCGUAAACGAUGCCAACUAGGCAUUGGGAGAAUCGACCCUCUCAGUGUCGUAGCUAACGCGUUAAGUUGGCCACCUGGGUAGUACGGCCGCAAGGCUAAAACUCAAAGGAAUAGACGGGGGCCCGCACAAGCGGUGGAGCGUGUGGUUUAAUUCGAUGGUAAGCGAGGAACCUUACCAGGGCUAGAAACUGGGCUGCAUACCAGCAGAAACGUUGGUAGCUUCCGAAGGUGCCCAGCAGGUGCUGCACGGUUGUCGUCAGCUCGUGGCGUGAGCUGUUCCCUUCAGUGGGGUAACGAGCGCAACCCUUAUUGUGUGUUACUUUUCACACGAGACUGCCGUGGUUAACACGGAGGAAGGUGGGGAUGACGUCAAAUCAGCGUGGUCCUCUGACGCCCUGGGCGACACACGCGCUACAAUGGCUAGGACAAUACGUUUUGCAAACCCGCGAGGGGGAGCUAAUCUUUAAACCUAGUCUCAGUUCGGAUUGGAGGCUGCAACUCGCCUCCAUGAAGCUGGAAUCGCUAGUAACUGCGAAUCAGCCACGUCGCAGUGAAUACGUUCUCGGGCUUUGUACUCACCGCCCGUCAACUCAGGAGAGCUGAUAGUACCCAAAGCUCCCGGCGUAUGCUGGGGACCACGGUAAGAUCAGUAAUCAGGAGU
rnacentral:rRNA from 1 species